GACGAACGCUGGCGGCGUGCUUAACACAUGCAAGUCGAACGGAAAGGCCCUGCUUUUGUGGGGUGCUCGAGUGGCGAACGGGUGAGUAACACGUGAGUAACCUGCCCUUGACUUUGGGAUAACUUCAGGAAACUGGGGCUAAUGCCGGAUAGGAGCUCCCGCUGCAUGGUGGGGGUUGGAAAGUUUCGGCGGUUGGGGAUGGACUCGCGGCUUAUCAGCUUGUUGGUGGGGUAGUGGCUUACCAAGGCUUUGACGGGUAGCCGGCCUGAGAGGGUGACCGGCCACAUUGGGACUGAGAUACGACCCAGACUCCUACGGGAGGCAGCAGUGGGGAAUAUUGCACAAUGGGCGGAAGCCUGAUGCAGCAACGCCGCGUGCGGGAUGACGGCCUUCGGGUUGUAAACCGCUUUCGCCUGUGACGAAGCGUGAGUGACGGUAAUGGGUAAAGAAGCACCGGCUAACUACGUG
rnacentral:rRNA from 1 species